rnacentral:tRNA from 1 species
CGGGGUGUGGCGCAGUUGGCUAGCGCACCUGCAUGGGGUGCAGGGGGUCGAAAGUUCGAGUCUUUUCACCCCGA